UACAGAGGUGGCAAGCGUUGUUCGGAAUUACUGGGCGUAAAGGGCGCGUAGGCGGCCUUCUAAGUCAGACGUGAAAUCCCCCGGCUUAACCUGGGAACUGCGUCUGAUACUGGAGGGCUUGAGUAUGGGAGAGGGAUGUAGAAUUCCAGGUGUAGCGGUGAAAUGCGUAGAUAUCUGGAGGAAUACCGGUGGCGAAGGCGGCAUCCUGGACCAUUACUGACGCUGAGGCGCGAAAGCUAGGGGGAGCAAACGGGG
rnacentral:rRNA from 1 species